UACGAAGGGGGGCUAGCGUUGCUCGGAAUCACUGGGCGUAAAGGGCGCGUAGGCGGCCUUCUAAGUCGAACGUGAAAUCCCCGGGCUCAACCCGGGAACUGCGUCCGAUACUGGAAGGCUUGAAUCCGGGAGAGGGAUGCGGAAUUCCAGGUGUAGCGGUGAAAUGCGCAGAUAUCAGGAGGAACACCGGUGGCGAAGGCGGGUCUCUGGGCCGAUACUGACGCUGAGGAGCGAAAGCGUGGGGAGCGAACAGG
rnacentral:rRNA from 1 species